rnacentral:rRNA from 1 species
UGGGGAAUAUUGGACAAUGGGGGCAACCCUGAUCCAGCAAUGCCGCGUGAGUGAUGAAGGCCCUAGGGUUGUAAAGCUCUUUCGCACGCGACGAUGAUGACGGUAGCGUGAGAAGAAGCCCCGGCUAACUUCGUGCCAGCAGCCGCGGUAAUACGAAGGGGGCUAGCGUUGUUCGGAAUUACUGGGCGUAAAGGGCGCGCAGGCGGUCAACCAAGUCAGAUGUGAAAGCCCCGGGCUCAACCUGGGAACUGCAUUUGAGACUGGAUGACUUGAGUUCGGGAGAGGAGAGCGGAAUUCCCAGUGUAGAGGUGAAAUUCGUAGAUAUUGGGAAGAACACCGGUGGCGAAGGCGGCUCUCUGGACCGAUACUGACGCUGAGGCGCGAAAGCGUGGGGAGCAAAC